CAGGGUAUUGUGCAGGCUGGCUCGCUGACACCCUUUGACAGAAGGUCGCCAUCGUUAUGGACACCUGUGUCUCUCCUGCUGCAUAAGGGUGUCUGCUGGGCGAGAAUCCUGCUGCAGGACGGAUAGCAGCUUACACGUUUACGUUAAACUCUGUUUACUGUAAUUGACCUCAGCGCAUGAGCACGUCACGCGUGAUGGUCGACGUAUCGAUCUCGUGAAACGAUGAGAUGAAGAGCAAAACGAGUGCGACUCAUCUGUGAGAAAUCUCCACUGGAGGGAGGCAAACGCAUGUGAAGCUACUCAACCAUCUGCAUGUACAGACUAUCCUCUGCAGUUGCGUCAUCUUAAUGUCCUCCUGCCUCAUGACGUCUGCAAUGUUGAAAUAGAAAUUAUGCAAUCGACAGUGUUUUCUCUGUAUUUACAUUUUAGGGGCAGCAAAGAAAAAUGUCAUACACAUAACACAUCAAAUGUCAAUGUGUUUUAGAAAAUAGUACAUUGAUAGUUGAGCUCAAAGUAUCAUUUUGAGAAAUCAUUAAUUGUUGAAUGAUGUAAUCAAACAAAUUCCAAAUAUUUGCUGGUUUCUGCUACACUGAGGAUUUGUUUUAAUUUUGAAGUGCAUAAUGAGUUUUAUACGAUUUUAAAAAAUUAAACUAGUUGAUAAAUCUGACACAGUAUAAUAAAAAUAAUCCCUUCUUGACAGAUCAAGCUCACACACACAGUGCCAAAUGGUGGUCCUGAUGGUCUUGUUUUUUUGACUGUAUACAUUAUGAUUUAUUUGAAUCACAUAAAAGCGAAUCCCAGCUUGACGCAGUGUUGAAAUGGCGCACCGGCGUUCAGUCAUUGUGUAGUUGUGGGCAGAUCAUGAGAUGGCACAUAAGAGGCUCUUGCAGCAGGUUGCAUCAGUCUUGUAAGAUCAGGCCUGUGCAGCUGUGAAUAGCGCCGCGCCCUCCUCCUCCCACCCCCCAGCAGCAGCUCAGCUCGUGACUAAGAAGGUGAAACCACCUCACAUUUCAGAGCGUGAAGAGACGACUCGGCUCAUAUUUACCAACAGCCAAGGCCGUGUGUCACAUGGUGAGCUCAGGUAUCGGAGCUACAGAUUAGGAUUAGGGGAUUAACGGCACCAAAUCAGACGAAACGCCUUCAACCUUGGGUGAGAGAUAAGGUAGUUCAUGUGGAACUAGAGAUACUGUAGAGCUCAAAGUAACAUUCUCACUUCAGACAGAACGACAAUCAGACAAAUGUGUAGUUCAAAGCGUUUUAUUGCAUUUUUUUUUUUUUUUUGAAAAACAAUACAAAAAUUCUGUAGCAACUGUCAACAAUGUUGCCUUGAGUGAACUGCAAUCACUUGCGUGGUACAGUAAAGUGCUUUUCUUAAAUCAAAAAUAUUUUUGUAUUAAAGGAUGUAUGUAUUUUAAAUUUUUACCCAUGAACACUACGGUCUUGGGGUAACUCAGUGUUAAAAUAUCCACUCAUUCAAAAUAAAGAAUCGAGGACUGAAUCAACCGAAUAACCCCACACCAUAUUUAUGAAAUGAACCACUUAGAAAACAUUGGAUCAAUGUUGCUGGAUUGUAAAUGCUUUUGCCUGUGGGCUACAUUCAAAUGGUGGUGGGGUGGUUGAUGGACAGUCUGUUCGAAUGACAGGAUAGAACACUUCCUUAGACAUACAAUAUAAAAGGCUUAAGGAUACAACUUUAUCCCCCCCCCCCCAUCCCCAAUAAAAGGCAGUCCAAAAAGCUACUGCCAUUUGACAAAAGUAGAAAUGGUCAUGACCAAGAAAACUCUCAUAUCAUUGGGAUAUUACGGAGUAUGGCCAAUAUCUGUGCAUUUGAGUUUCUAACCCUAUCAAAAAAAGGUAAGAACCAACUCGUUUGAUGCGCAAUGGGGAGGAAAAAGGCAGAAUACUGAACUGUAUAGGUAUUUUCUAAACCCAAAGAUUGCCUUGAUCAGCUUAAUGCUGUGAGAUUAGUGGGAGCAAAGUAGUUUCCCAAAUGAAAAAAAAAACAGCUGCAGACACAUUCAAGUAAGUCUUAUUAUAAGACAUAAAACUCCCGUAAUGACGCAUCUGUAGAAUUAUUACAGUGUGUCAUCACCAUCAGCAUAUUAACACCAAGAGAACAAGUUUGAGUACCGGUGCUGCAUUGUGGCAACAGGGCAUGGACAAUCAGAAGUCCCCACUUCCACUGCGCGGUAAAGAUCGCAUGUUCAAUGUCAUGACUGGAACCCUCUUUGGUGACAUUGCUAAAGUGUUGUGAGACGACCUCAUCAUCAGUCUAUUUCCUGGCCAUUAUAGAGUGAGCUUCAACCCCCCCAAAAAA